rnacentral:rRNA from 1 species
ACUACGGGGGGCUGCAGUGAGGAAUAUUGGUCAAUGGGCGGAAGCCUGAACCAGCCAAGUAGCGUGCAGGAUGACGGCCCUACGGGUUGUAAACUGCUUUUAUACGGGAAUAACGCGCCUUACGUGUAGGGCUUUGCAUGUACCGUAUGAAUAAGGACCGGCUAAUUCCGUGCCAGCAGCCGCGGUAAUACGGAAGGUCCGGGCGUUAUCCGGAUUUAUUGGGGUUAAAGGGAGCGUAGGCCGCAUGUCAAGCGUGCUGUGAAAUGUCCGGGCUCAACCCGGGCCUUGCAGCGCGAACUGGCGUGCUUGAGUCCGCGGAAAGCAGGCGGAAUUCGUCGUGUAGCGGUGAAAUGCUUAGAUAUGACGAAGAACCCCGAUUGCGAAGGCAGCUUGCUGCAGCGGAACUGACGCUGAUGCUCGAAAGCGCGGGUAUCGAACAGGAUUAGAUACCCUAGUAGUC